UGCGUAGGCGGACUAAUAAGUCAGUGGUGAAAUCUUUCGGCUCAACCGAGAAACUGCCAUUGAUACUGUUAGUCUUGAGUUCGGUUGAGGUAGGCGGAAUGUGUAAUGUAGCGGUGAAAUGCUUAGAUAUUACACAGAACACCAAUUUCGUAGGCAGCUUACUAGACCGACACUGACGCUGAGGCACGAAAGCGUGGGGAGCGAACAGGAUUAGAUACCCUGGUAGUCC
rnacentral:rRNA from 1 species